GUGAGUAAGAUAUAUUCGGUGGUAGUUUGAAGCUACUUUUUUCAUAUUUGGUUGUGAUGCUCGCU
rnacentral:tRNA from 1 species